GAAGGGUCACAAGGAGACGGUCGACGGUAUGCAGCGGGAAAAAUUGUUGGCACGUAUGAAGGAUGGUACAUGCUAUUGCUCUUUGAAUUCCCGACGAAGUGCUGGCUGCAUAUUCUAGUGUUGGCGUUCGGUUGCCAAGCUUGCCGUCAGGCCUGUCGACGUCGAACCGCUUGUAUCCAACGCUGCCGCCGCUCUUUCUCCCACGGUCUUGCAGGAAAAUUGUAGAAAGACACGCCUUUGGUGGAGCCUUCCUGGUUGAAACAGCCGAUCACGCAGCAAUAACGCCGUCCCCGAAACCUCUUCACCUUUACUCCAGCAUCGAGGGCCAUAGCGUCGUUGGCAGUACUAGUUGCCAUAUGUACUACCUGAAGUUGCCAGCUGCCCCCACUAGGAUGCGCUGUGCACUGCAGACUCCACUGCUGAUUCCCCACAGUUGUACAGAUUCAUAGAU